rnacentral:rRNA from 1 species
GACGAACCGUGCGAACGUUGUUCGGAAUCACUGGGCUUAAAGGGCGCGUAGGCGGCGCGACAAGUCACCUGUGAAAUCUCCGAGCUUAACUCGGAGCCUGCAGGCGAAACUGUCGUGCUGGAGUAUGGGAGAGGUGCGUGGAAUUCCCGGUGUAGUGGUGAAAUGCGUAGAUAUCAGAAGGAACAUCAGUGGCGAAAGCGGCUUCCUGGUCCAGCACCGACGUUCAGGCACGAAAGCGUGGGGAGCAAACAGG